GGUAGAGUAGAAAUAAUAUGAUAAAGUCGUCAAAAUGAGCGAACACGCUCAAUAAAAAAAAAGAUUGAUUUUAUUCUUCUUUCCCAAUUCUUUUUUUUUUUUUUCUUACGGCACGGCUGCUUCACAGAUUUUUUGAACAAAACAUCCAUCUGUGUUUGAGUUCAGAUUGGAAUUUUUAUUUAAUUGAAGAGUAAGCCUAUUUUUUUCUGGUUCUAAGACCGGGAGGUCUAGCGGUCAACCCACUUCUUUCAAAU
rnacentral:lncRNA from 1 species